CAGUUCGGAUUGUAGGCUGCAACUCGCCUACAUGAAGUUGGAAUCGCUAGUAAUCGCGAAUCAGAAUGUCGCGGUGAAUACGUUCCCGGGUCUUGUACACACCGCCCGUCACACCACGAGAGUUUACAACACCCGAAGUCAGUGGCCUAACCGCAAGGAGGGAGCUGCCUAAGGUGGGGUAGAUGAUUGGGGUGAAGUCGUAACAAGGUAGC
rnacentral:rRNA from 1 species